rnacentral:rRNA from 1 species
UAAUACGGGGGGAGCAAGCGUUGUUCGGAUUUACUGGGCGUAAAGGGCGCGUAGGCGGCCACUGCAAGUCGGUUGUGAAAUCUCCGGGCUUAACCCGGAAAGGUCAAUCGAUACUGCAGGGCUAGAGUGCAGAAGGGGCAACUGGAAUUCUCGGUGUAGCGGUGAAAUGCGUAGAUAUCGAGAGGAACACCUGCGGCGAAGGCGGGUUGCUGGGCUGACACUGACGCUGAAGCGCGAAAGCUAGGGGAGCGAACGGGAUUAGAUACCCCGGUAGUCCUAGCCUUAAACGAUGAAUGCUUGGUGUCUGGGGUUUUAUAGUCCCCGGGUGCCGUCGCUAACGCUUUAAGCAUUCCGCCUGGGGAGUACGGUCGCAAGACU